rnacentral:rRNA from 1 species
CCCUUAGAUGUUCUGGGCCGCACGCGCGCUACACUGAUGCAUUCAACGAGUUUCUUCCUGGUCCGAGAGGAAUGGGUAACCUUUUGAAAGUGCAUCGUGAUAGGGAUAGACUAUUGCAAUUAUUGGUCUUCAACGAGGAAUUCCUAGUAGACGUAAUUCAUCAGACUGCAUCGAUUACGUCCCUGCCCUUUGUACACACCGCCCGUCGCUCCUACCGAUUGAAUGCUCAGGUGAGCCAUUCGGACUUUCAUCAUGCUGGUUUCCAGUUUUGAUGAAGGAAAGUCUUGCGAACCUUAUCAUUUAGAGGAAGGAGAAGUCGUAACA